AGACGUGGCCGACGCGGGCCAAAGUGUAGUAUCUGUUCUUAUCAGCUUAAUAUUUGAUAGGGGUUGUAUUUGGACCUAAGAUCUUAAACUUAUUUUGCGAGUUGGCGGUGGGCUUAAAACCUGCUAAACCUACUCCGCGGGUCGGCCUGGUAUUGCCCUAUCUUCGGUAUCGGCCUACAUAUU